AAGUCGUAACAAGGUUUCCGUAGGUGACCUGCGGAAGGAUCAUUAACACGUAUCCAACGUUAAACAACCCUGUGAACUUUAAGUCCCCUCUUGCAGCCCAUGAGGAACAGCAAUCCGGUAAUCAUUGCCAAACAGUUUUGAUGCGGGACCUCUGUCCAAAAGGAGUUGCAAUCGAAGCAGUGGCAUAGCAGUUAGUGAAUGACAGUGUCACUGACUGUGUAAGGAUAACGCCUCACGGUUGCUAGAGGGCGAUCACCGACGGAGACAUGUCACAGGGUCACCACGCCCCUUAAUCACUCCACUUGAAAAUGCCCCGCCUAGUGGUAACGCGCUAGGUAAAAAAAACCGAACAACUGUUAACAACGGAUAUCUUGGUUCUC
rnacentral:misc_RNA from 1 species